GUGUGAAGCGGCUGGGAUGCGAAUUGGCACCUCCAAGUCCGAGACCAUGGUCCUCAGUCGGAAAAAGGUAGAUUGCUGUCUCCGGGUCGGAGGGGAGGUCCUGCCUCAAGUGGAGGGGUUCAAGUAUCUCGGGAUCUUGUUCACUAGUGAGGGUAGGAUGGAGCGGGGGAUCGACAGGCGGAUCGGAGCGGCGUCAGCAGUGAUGCGGACGCUUAACCGAUCUGUCGUGGUGAAGAAAGAGCUGAGCCGUAAGGCGAGACUCUUGAUUUACCGGUCGAUCUACGCGCCGAUUCUCACCUGUGGUCAUGAACUUUGGGUAAUGAGCAAGAGAACAAGAUCACGGAUACAAGCGGUCGAAAUGGGUUUCCUUUGCAGAGCGGCUUGGCUCAGCCUUAGAGACAGGGACACUCGGGAGGCGCUCAGAGUAGAACCGCUGCUCCUUCACGUCGAGAGGAGUCAGCUGAGGUGGCUCAGGCAUCUGGUUAGGAUGCCUUCUAGAUGCCUCCCUAUAGAGGUGGCCCACCGGGAGGAGACCUCGUGGCCGGCCCAGGACCAGGUGGAGAGAUUAUAUCUCUCGCCUGGCCUGGGAGUGCCAGGGAAUCCCUGUGGAGGAACUGGUGGAAGAGGCUGGGGUGAGGGCCGUCUGGGCUUCCCUCCUGAAGCUGCUGCCCCGCAACCCAGACCCGGAUAAGCGGAAGAAAACGAUGACGACGACUGAAUAUAUGGCUUUACAUGAAUGGAUAGUGAGGAUGGUAGUAAUGCAACAUGAUAGAUACCAACUGGUAUAUGAAAACUCAAAGAAAAUGAAGCAGCAGCAAACAUGCAGAAAGUAGUAGCUGGAAUCACUGCCAUUUUAACAAUCUGCGCUUGGUCUUGAUAUCAGAUUUUUUACUUCACAAUUAUCAUGACCUUAAAAUAUUGAUUUGAUAUUGUUGAGAUAUUUGUGGAAAACCUAAAUUUGUUAAAAAGGCUGGUAAUCAUUAACACCCGUACACCCUAUGUCAGAUAAACCAACCCAAUCACAACGAUGACAUUCCCUCAGCUUAUUUGCAAACAGCCAAGCUGGCAGCUUCUGCUCCUGGAGGGUCUGUUUGAAUCUGCCUUUUUAAAUGAACUGGAUGAUUGAUUUUCAUAAAAACACGAACAGGGCAGUUUUGUAUUCACAUCGUUCACCAUUCACCACAGGGGAUUUUCCUUCCAACACUAAGCUGGUCAGUUGUCUGAUGUGUCACUUCCCCCCUUUGCAGAGGUUUCCAGCAUUGAAAAUUACAAUGUAGAAAUAAUCAGUCUUGCUGCUAAUAGUCCCACUCUGAAUGAGGGAUCACUGCUAAUUUCUAUUUGUCUCGUAACCGCUUAAAACCUCCUCAUGGGACCUUUGAAUCAGGAAGUAUUUUUAAACUUUUGGGUGAUGAAUAUAAGAAUGCCUGACCUUCACUCACACUCUUGUCGAUUUACUGUGUGUUAGCUGUACUUUGGCUUAAGUAUGGCUGUCAGAUACUCCGUUCUUCUCACAGACAGUCCCCUGCUUAUCAUUUCAUGAGUGUAAAGCAACUAAAAGCAAAAAACUUGCAUUUAUUCUGUGACUUGCUAGACAAUCAGACAAACAGGUUGCAGUUUUGAUAAUAAGAAUGAAUGUAAUGACAACAUUUAAACCAAAAAGUCCAAAUAUGUUCAAAAGACACAGUCCAAUAUAAAAUCUAGAGAGUAUCCAGAAGUCCCUGUUAGUGGGUAUCAAAGCAUCCAGAGACCUGCAGCCCCCCUGACACCAGAGUUGGGCUGUCAUCUCUGUCGUCUCUCAGGAGUAAACUGUGAUACCUUAUCAGAGCUCUCUGGGUCCUGCAGACACUGCUGUCACGUUUGAUGGAUCUUUUCUCUCCGCUGUGUCUUCAAGCUACAUAAUAUCGCAGAUAACUGGACUGUCACUCACUUUUUUUUUUUCAGCCUUAUUAGAUCACUUCUCUUAGUCCUAAAAACAUUUGAGUGCAGCUAACAGGCCUGUGUGGACGGCUGUCAUCCCCUUAUCUGAAAUCUUAUCCCCUAGUUGAUGGAAAGUAUGAAAAAAAAAGAUAUAUUUUACGAUAUAAUUGACCCAUAGACUGUAUAUAGAAUGGACGCCUUCUGCCUCCUCACUGGGUUAAGCCGCCCUGAGAACAGCACCCUCUGGUGACGGGCUGCGGUAUAGGUCAUAAAUCCCGCCUCCUCCAGCAAUCCCUAUGGAGCUGUGGACAAACUUUAGAAAUUUAUUACACAGAAUGUAAAUUUUUUUCUCCCCUGCAUGCGAUGUUGACAUGUAGCUACUGUAAGACUGGUUUGUGCUCAAGUCAUUUUUUUUUAUGUGCAGCUCCGUUUUCAAAAGUUAUUAGGGGGUUCAUGUUUUCUAUGAUUGAUACCUGAUACAGCCUAUGGGCGUAUGAAGAUUGCAUAGCUCAUCCGGGGAAUAUGCUGUUUGAGGAGAGCGUCGUCACAGCGACUCUCCUGACGAAUGCGUACAAUGCUACUGUGCUGUGGUGGAGUGCGUACAACGCUACUGUACAAUGUUGGUUUCAGGAAAUAUCGCAAGCUUUUCGGCUUCAAAUCCAUUUACUGGCAGAAGGCGGAACCAAGUAGUCCACAGUAUAUACAGUCUAUGAAUUGACCAUAAGAUUUUAAGGGAGUUCCUGCUGUUUUCCAGCAGCAAGUUAUAUCUAGUAGCUAGUUUGUUUUGGACCAAUAUGUAUAAGUAAAAAAAAACAUCCAAUAACAUUAAAAAGUGAAUAGAGGGAGUAAUACACUUGCUGCAGAUUAUUGAUUGGUUUAAAAAGGGGAAACAACAGUGAUGUAAAUGUUUGCCAUAUCACAGGACCAACUAUUUGGUUUCACCAUUAUUUGUCAGAGCAUUUAGAAAACAGAUUUUCAUUGAUGGUUUGUUUGCCAUUUAAGUCCUCAUCUCUGUUUUAAAAAAAUCAGUUUGUCAGUAAACCCCACAGAGGUAAAGUCACUAUUGGAGCUGUAUCUGGCAGCAACAACAAGCAUGUAGAUCCCCAACAUUCCUGUUGAUUUGAUCAUUUUUAAAGGUCUUAUGAUCAGAUGUUCUUUUAUACAGACACGUAUUUUUUAAUUACCUUGAUGAUAUGUUUCGGCGUGCUGGCAGCAGUCUUCCUUAGAGUGUGACGCAUCUUAAAAUGGCUGAUGUUUCCAAAGAACAUCUAAUUGUAAUUUAUCAAAAAAGACACAAUGAACCUAAUCCAAGAAUUUUUAAAGGUCUGUUUCUGUUUCUCGAUCAGGUUGAUUAAAUCCAGUUUUUCUACAAAAUAUCAGGACAAAGUGUGAUGGAGUACCCGAUACUAGAGAGCUGUGUAUUUAUAAAUCAAUUUUAUUAUGAUCUAAACUGAAAUUGAGCUUUGUGGGCCCAGAGCAAUGCCAAAACUUUCUGUAACUAUGAGUCAUUUAGACUCCUUAAUAAAUGUUGAAUUGCGGCUGAGGUUUCUGCUGACUUAUAUUCGUGUGACGUUGAUCAGGUGUUAUUUAGAGUUUUUCUUGAAGGACAUUUAAUGAAUGAGCUUGCAGAUAUAAAUUUACUGAUAAAAAGUAAAAUACAAACACUGAGACUAAUUUUCAAGGACUUUGUGUACAUGUUUUUGUCUCCAUCAGGACACACACGUCUCCACGGAUUGAUUUACAAACCUCAUCAUCUCAGAGGAUGGAGGCAGCUUCAUCUAAAUUCUCCUGUCCCCUCUGAGACCUUCCUCUGAUAGGAUCCAUUAUCUCCUGUUGUUUCAGAAUGGCACUUCCUGUCGGGAUAAGCAGCCUAAUUGUAAAUUUGCAUAAAGCAAGAAUAAAUGGAGGACCCCAGCAGAAAACCUCUCGGUGAAUUUGCAUCCAAAUUGGAUCAGCCUCGCAGACUUAAACUGUUGUUUGUCCUCAUUUUUCUCCCCUCCUCCUCCUGGCUGUCACCACAGUCCCUCGGCUGGUUAUUGUUGUGUUAAAGUUUGCUAUUAAAGAACGUGAGGCGCGUUGGAGGGAGUCAUAAAUCAAUGCAGAGUGUUUGGAAGCAGACAGCAGACUCAGGGAGAGAGGCACAUAAAACAUUUCACUUUUCCAGAUUCCAGUCUUAGAUGAAAUCAUGUUCCACCUCGGCUACAUCUCGGAUAAAAGGUAAAUCAAUUGGUGGGCUUGACUAUGAAUGGAUUGUGGCUGCAUAAGGCUCCAAGAACCGCACAUUGUCCUCCACCUCAUCUCAAGGUAUGAUUGAUAAAGCAUCAUACCCCGAUUUCAACACACCGAAACACCCAUGAAGCUUUGCGUCUCAUGCAGUUAAAUCCUAUUUUGUGUUUGAUUGUGGAGAUGAACCAUCAGCAUCGCCACAAAUCUAUCCACAGAUGAUGCCCCAGAUGAAUGCAUAAUGGCUCAUUUGAAGCCUCAAAGUGCAAUUUGUGGUGCUUUUAACCCUUUAAUACUGAUGCACAGGUAUUGGAUGCACAAAUACUGCAAAUCUUUUUGUGCAGGUUUCUUUUUUUUAACUGAAAGCUGUUGUGCCAUCAUAAAAGUAACUCCAACACCUUUUUUAUUCAGUCUGUAAUUUAAGGAACAACAAUGAAAACUGCUCUUCGGGACCUCAGGGCACAGUGACAGCUCACAGGGAGAAAUCUUAAAAUCUCAAAAAACUCACCAGCAGCUAAAGAGAAGAUGAGACAGACAGGCAGUGUGAUGUGAAUUUUGUGAAACUUCGAGGGACAGACACUGGUGGGAGGACCGAAAGAAGACUGAUGACAGAAGGGCCGGUGUUAAUCAAAAAGCCUUAGGGUCGAUAAUUAAAUCCAAAGAAAGCAGAUACUGAUGAAACUCCGAACACAAGUCAGUCUAAAUAAAAUCAGCCGAGCCAUAGGAAAAACACUGAAAAACAGGAUAUAGGGUAUAAAGACAAACUGGUCCAGAAACAGGAGUGGACAGACGACAUGAGGAAGGUGAGUCUAAUCAUUUUCACCUGUUUCUGCUGUGUCUGACCUUAGAGCUGGACUCACCGUUACAAAAACAAGGAUCGAACAAAGGAAAGGAAAUGAAACCUCAGCCAGUAUGUAUGAACAAGGGAGUGAAAAACACAAUAAUUACUGAACAACACAACACAACAAUGCAGCGACUCACUGGGUUUUCAUGGCCAUAAUCCUUGCUAUUACAUUUUAAAUCAAUUGAAGCACAGAGAGACCUGCUAAAGAUGGAAAGGGGAGUUGCAAUAAUCUACAAUCAGAAGAAAUAGCAUUUUUUGCAAACAGACAUUUCGAGCACUCCUGCUAAUGCUCUGCUCAUAAAGCGUCAGACCGCCUGUGUUUUGGCUGCAUUACUCAUCACUCAGUCUGUUUACAUGUUGUUACAAAAUGAUUUAUUGCAUCAGUCAGACUGGAACAGGAUGAAAUUCAACUUCGAGUCAGACUAACAUACCUGGAUAAUGUGAUUGGGGAUUGACUUUCUCUCCCAUGUAUACAGUUUAAUUAAACUGAAACUGGUCUAAAGCGAGGCACACACAUACAGAUUUUUAAAUCUGAAGAGAUUUUCUAUCUGUUACAGACCCCACACAUGAAAAUAAAACACAAAAAAACAAGAAGAAGAAACAUAGCAACUACUGGGAAACACAAGAUGCAACAUGGAAGAGGACACACAAGAGGAGGGAAUGAUGGUGGUUUUGGGAGUGUUUUUGACAGAAAAACCCUGUACUAAAAAAAAGAAAAGACCGUGGAAAAAUCCUGGAGACAGAGUGAACGUGGACUUUAUUUGUUCUCAAAUUAAGCUAAUGGCUGGUGUGAUUUUUCUAGUGACACAAAUAAAUGCGGCAGCCAUCAAGGAAGACAAAUUGUGCAUGGUAAAUUGUGUUUAAGUCAUUCGUUUGUAUUAUGUUAACAGAUAACUGAUACAGCAGGCUUCUUGAUUGGCUACAUUCUGUUUCACGUGACAAUUCACAGAGUCAUGACUUGGGAGUCGCCGGCUUUCCCCACACACGUGAGGAUUUUAGGUCGUAAAUUUUGAACAAGUUUGAUAUUUACGAUUGUCGCCCACCAACCCAUUUCAGACCCAAUUAUUGGGACAAAUUCACUAUUAAUACAACUCAGACCACAGGUUAAUCUUAUAGGAUAAUCUUAUUAGACAUAAGAUAAUCUUCUGAUUGUCGUCCUUAGUCGGGAGGGGGAAAAUGUUCCAGAGUUUGUACACUGGACUUUAAACCAGAAGUUUAAUCGUGCAACAAUAUAAGAAAAAAAAAAGGACAAAACUUUCCUCUCGUACAAACCAACAGUUUACCAUUUUUAUAGUGCGACGUAAGUACCGUUAGCCUCUCACUAAUGCAUUUUGCAAACUGUUUUGAUAUGUAAUACUUCAUCAGGGAGAUGACCCAAUAGAAACGUACUGAAAGGAGUCUUGUUACCACUGACCCUGCUUCUGUCAAUAAUUUGAUUCUUGCCUGGUGCCAGUAAACUGGGACAAAAAUAGUCGUCAAGGUAAAUCGCCUAACUGAGCUGUGUAGCUUAGUCCUCUCAGUUGUACCCAAACAGAAGCCAUAAUCUUUUAUUCUGGUGUCUUGACUUUGAAAAUGUCAAGCUGAAGGAGACCUAUUAUACUCGUUUUCACCCUUCGUUUCAAUCUGGGAGAUCAAGUGUAGUUCUGCGUGAUUUACAGCUUGAAAAUCUUAUCAGCAUCUCAAACUAGCAACCGGAAAAAACUCUUUAAAUGCUUUUUGGCCUCUGCCAGAAACACUUUGUUUUGACUGUUUUUCCGGUGACAUAGAUGUCUGUGUAGGUUCUCAUUCAUUCAGGUCAUGGUUAUCCAAGGUUUAAUCCAAAACUGGACUUCAUUAAGUUGUGGUGAAGAGAGCUUUGAGAACAGGGUCUUGGAAAACCAGUAAGGUAAGUUAGACACAGCUUGUGAGUGUUAUUUUUACACUUCUAUCCUCAAAUAUGAUUUUUUUCCACCAUGCUCAAGAAUCAGGUGCAGGUUUUUGGUACCAAGGACUUCUAACAUUUCGUGAAUGAGAUUCAUUAUUCCUGUGUAUUACAGUACUGAUCAGCACAGCAGAUUUUCAAUGAACUGUCAGUUUCUUCAUUUUGUCCACAUUGGUUUUCUUGAACAAUUUUUCCAGACAGCUGCAGGCAACACCGACUGUAAAUGUGGUGCCGAGAAACAGAGCGUCAUCUUUCAGUUUCCUUCUUAUUAGAGCUGAGAUGAAACUAUGGAUCCAAGUCAUAAUUGUCUGGGUGGGCUUGAUCUUUAAUAGUGACCUCUUUCUCAUUGUGAGUGUUUUUGAUCCAAUCAAAUCAGUUGUAGCGGCUUGGAUUGAAUCUAUAGCUCUGAGGUCAGGUUAUUAGUUUGGAGUUAUCUGAUUCUGUCCUCAAUACAUCUCAGAUAAUUCUUACAUUGGGUUUAACUAAUUACAUGAGUGUAUUUACAGACGCUCAACACCGGGUGAGACAAUGAUCUGUAGGUUUCAGUUCAUACUAAUAAGACUGUAAUAAGGCUGAAGUCAAUGAACAGAAGUAAGUCUAAUAAAGCAAAGGCUGCCCUCAUUAAACACUCCUAUUGAACUUCACUUUUAAUGGACUUCACAGGCUUCAUUAUGAAUCAGAUUUUCAUUGAUUAUCUGGUCAUGUGACAUCAUCUGAUGGGGAUUGAAUUGAACAAGAUUGUGCCCAGGGUUAUUUAUGUCCAACCUCAGACCUGUGGAGAAAAUAACAUCUGCAGGCUUUUAUUGACGUCCUGCAGUGAUUGUUUCCUCUGCAGCUCAUGAUGAAUUAGAUAUCAGAUUCACAUGGAGCUCCGUGAUAAAGACAUGGAGGAAAAAAACUUUUCGGACAGCUUCCCAAAGAGAAAUAAAUCUCACUUUGGUGGUAAUGAGUGAGAGCAGCAAUUUUUCAGGAGUUUGGAGAGAAGCUGAUAGAUCUGGAUUAAAAACACAAUAAAUCCAUACAGAACUGUGACACUUUUGUGGAUAUGCUAUAGACUGGGCAUUAUCAAGAAAAAGAGAUGAAUCAGCAAAUUAGUAGAAGAACUUUUAUGUCAAUAGAAACUUAUAGCAUGGUGUUUGCCGAUUUUUGGCUGGCCCACUUUAAAAGAUAAGACACACUUUGGGGAAAUUUGUCUUUGGCUAUUCACUGAUACUGCAGACACAACAUGUAGACAACAUACAACAUGAUAACACACAAUUAAGGUUAAAAUGACCUUGAUGGUGUACAGGACCGACAUGGUGCCAAAAGAAGAGAAGAGGAAAGUAUUCAAAGUGAGGGUGAAAAACAUAGAUAUGAUUAGUGGGAGCGUUAUUCCCAUUAAAGGGAUAUUCCGGCGUGAAAUUAAUUUAGGGUCAAACACACCAUAACACCGAGUUAGACACCCCCUCGAGAGUUGAAUGUUGCCGACCACUUGCUUCUUUAGUUAUACCAUAUUUAGUAAUGACCGCACAAUAGCAAUACACAGUGGUCUCAGGAGCCAUAAACAAGUUUCAAACAAAACGCCACUCUAUAGUCACAAAUAAUGCUCAGAACAGCACCUAACUUCAUCAACAGUACUGUAAGGAUGCCUAGCCCAGGUUCACAUUAGAAAGAAUCGAAGGUCCACACGAAUGAUCAUUUUGACAAGCUUUACUGAUUACAUAUCUGGGUUACAGUUUCAGCAGGCCAUAAGUGUGACCAACAGUGGUCCUCUACAAGUGUAACAAAGAGUGACCACCCCAAGUGUAGCAAAAAGUGGUCCACCCCCAAGUGUGGCAAAGAGUGUGACCAACACAAGUGUGGCCAUCCUAAGUGUAGCAAAAAGUGGUCCACCCCCAAGUGUGGCAAAGAGUGGUCCAAGACCAUUCAAGUAUUUAUAGCGGUUCACAAUCCUAAACAUACUGUUGGUAUUUAGUUGACCCUAAGAGAAAUCCAUGUAUGGUAAAAACAAAGGACAACAUUUUUCAAAAGCCUUAGAUGAACAUGUGGAAGGUCCCAAGAAGGAAAUAUCAUGACAAACAUAUUUUGGGGACCUACAUGGUGUAAAUAAUGUGUACAGGGUUCCUUGCUCAGGGAUGGUUGUAGGAGGCCCCCGGCUCCAGCAAUCUAACACCAAAGUGUCUGGGGUAUUUGAGUGACACAGCUCCACCACUCUACAGGCUGACAUGACUGGCUAAAGAAACUCAUCCUAACAAGUACAUAUAGGGUCCCAGCCACAGCACCAGCCACCAAGCAUCUUUUUAACUUUGCCUGAUUUCUUUAGCAAAGAGACUAAACACAACUCACCUACUCUCUUCCAGCAGCCGCUUGUUUGUAGCGAGACCUCAGGCCAGUCCAUUACGGACUGCUGCGGGGUGACGCAGCUCAAGGAAGAACAUUUAUGAUCAUUUCUUCAUGGAAAUGCAAUCAGACCGAGACACUAAGGCAGAAGAACUACCACGUUUGCAGUGCAAAAUGAUUAAUAUGAUGAUUAUAACUUCAAGGAAAUGAUAAUGAAAUGAUCAUAAAUUGAUCAUUUUGGUUGAAGUUUAUUUAUGGCUCCUCAGACUGCUGUGUAUUGCUAUCCUGUGGUCGCUACUAAAAUUAAUACCUAAAUUAAUUCUAUGCCGGAAUAUCCCUUUAAAGGCAAUGCAUGUACAUUGAAACUAAGUCAUUACUUGCUCUUUUCUCAACCGAUUUUCAUGCUGUUUACUUUAUUUUCAAAGCCAAAACAUGUGCUAUUAAUAUAGAACACUGAUAAAAAAUAAAGUUUAACAAAAAUUUUACUUUGAUGGCUUUACAUGUAAUUCACUUGCACAGAUUAUUCUAUCUGCAUUUGGUGUGAACCCAACAUUUUUGAGUGCUAACUUGCAGAGAGUCUCUUCAAAAAGUGUAGAGUGUCUUCCCUGUCUUUUUAAUUCUAGUUCAGGUAAAAAUAAAAGGCAGGCAACCUGUGGAAAUGUUUGUGCAGCCUCUGGAUGGGGACAGAAACCUCCUCUGAAUCUCUAUUUUCAUUUCCUCUUUUUUUUCCUGUCUGGACACCCUGUAUUCAUUACAAGAUGGCAGCACCUGUCCAUGUCGUUUAGUGGGAGUUAUUUGAUACGCCAAAGCCCAUUAAUCUGCUGAAUGCAGACACAGGCUGAAUGCCAAACUUGGUAUAAAGAGAGCAAUGUUUCUAUUAUUCAUGGCAGAGGAUAAUCUACACAAAACCACAGGAGGGCCUCGUGAAUAUAAAGGAAAGGAGGAGGAAUAUGCUGAGUAAUCACAAAAAACAUCAAAUUCUGACUUUGACAAGUGUCAAAGUUGAGGAAGAAGUAUGACAGGAGAACCCGAGGACCACCUCAAAGGUUAAGAAAUAUGUGAUGAAGAAAACAAAUUUAGCGAUGGCAGAGAAAAGGAGGAAAAAUUGCUUCUGAAAUACUUGGUCCCUUCAAACUCACUGGUGUUGACUAUCAAAGUCAUAACUACAAAAUGACACCACGAACAGACCAGCCAGUUAACACCAUACAUUCAGACCACAAGAAAGAAGACCAGACACACAAUCACUUCUUAUCCUUUUCAGCCUUGAAAAGGAGGAAAAUAAUUCAUCUUUAUCCCCUCAAUGACUGCCGACUAACUCUACCUCAUUCCCAGGAGUGCUCCCAGCCAGACAGGCACAGACCCUCCAUCAAGUUAGUUUUUCAGGCCACGUCAUCCUGAUAGUUUUGAAUUAGCAGCUCCAGACGAUGUCUAAUCUCAAGGGCGCAAAUUCAGCCAAACAAACCUUUUACCUUCAACUUUAAGAGCCUCACACUAGAACAUGAACUGGAGAUUGAGGUAAUUCUUGAUUUUCAUUCUUGAUGUAAGCUGCUUCAGAUUCUUCUCCAAGAUUUAAAUGAUUUGAAUAUAUUUUGUGAGUGGAUUAUAAGAGCAUAUCUCAAAAAUGGUGCUGAGAAAAACUAGAUAACAUUGUGGAAAGUGUGGAUGAGAAAAUAUAUGGUAUAAACACAGCAGCUGGUGAUCAUGGGAUGAGAAUUAAGUGACAAAAUGACAAAAAGGACGAUGACAGCAGCAAUUCACAUGACAUACAAUUACAAAAACACCAAUACACACAAAAAACAAGACUAUCUAGCUCCAUGGGGAUGCAAUGUAUGCACUAAAUUGGUUCAUCCAUCAAUAGUAAAGAUUAUAUAUUUGUUACAAUAAUCUUACAUACAAAGAAUACAUACAAUUGGAUGCUGCAUUUAGUAACACCUGUAAAAAAACAAGUUGCAUGAGACCAGAAUCUUGAUAGAUGGAUUGUAAACUUUAGCAUUGUAUUUCAGGUGGUACAAUAAUGAAGUGAGAGCUAUUAUUUGUUCUAUUCUAAUAAAAGAAGAAGAAGAAAACACCCUGAAAAUUGAUGAAAAAUAAAAAUAAAAUGUAUUGGAGCCCCACAGUAGAGCUGUUGUUAUGUAACUACCACAUGGAUUUUGCUGUGGAUGAGGCUGCCAUAAACCCUCUCAGAGAGAAAAUGAGAGAGAGCCGCAGCCAACCCCGCUACAGCAUUCUGGUUAGCAACAAUCAAUUAAGACAUUAAGGCAUUAACCUCACCCUCUGCAAAACAAGAUUUUUUUAUUGUGCAGCCUUAUACAGACACUUUGAAAAGGGACGGCAUCACCAGUUGAUCAUGAGAUAAAAAGCCUUUACAGUUAUUCUCAGGGUGCAUAGAAAGUCAUUUUUUCUUCUUGCAAACUGAAUGCACCAGAUGUGGAUUACUGUUCGACUGGCUCUGAAUGGGACUGAAUGCUACCUGAGUGCUUCUCAUGCAGCAAAUGAUGAGACUCCAAACUGCCAAACCACAGAGGCUGUCUUUAUUUCUAUUAACUUCACACAGCUGCAUAGAACAUGAGCGUCAUGUGUCAAGUGCAUAGACUUUAUAUAGUAUGGGCAACGUGAUUUAUCUCUCGUCAUUGUUGCGAAAAAAAAAGCUCAUCAGGAGAACGUGCAAUAUUUGCACACCCAUAGACUGCAUCAAAGUCUCAAUCAUAGAAAAUAUGAUGUAAUUUCCCAUUUUUAUAACCCAAAUAACUUUAAAAAAUGGAACUGCAAAGUUUUCAAAGUUUGGCCACAGCACCAUUCAUUUUGCUGGAGGAGGCGGGGUUUAUGACCUGUGCUGCAACUAGUCACCAGGAGGUGCUGUUCUGGCAGAGACUGCAUCCAGCGAGGAGCCAGAUGACGUCCAUUAUAUAUAUAUAUAUAUAUAUAUAUAUAUAUAUAUAUAUAUAUAUACAAUCUAUGGUCAAGUGUCAUACUUCUACUCCCCUGAGAGUCAAAUGUGCAAAAUGUGAGCUGACACAAAAGUCAUGCCGGCCUAUCCUGAAAGGUAUCUAAAGUUUAAAUCUAGACUGCUGGCUUGGACAUGAACCAUGAAACGACCUCCAUUUAGAGCAUUUCAGGUCAGACAAAGACUUUUUUGUUUUUUAAGCUAUUUAAAUUCUUCAAAUGACUACACUAACAUCCAUUUUAAUGACUUGUAGCACUACAGAUAGUGUCUAUGCGAGUCUUAUAACAUGAGAGUGUUCUUUGACUGUGAUGUAAUGGCAAGGUCAAUCUGGACACCUUCUGCCGGGCCGCAUGCUUUUUGAUUUGAUUAGAAAACGCCAUCAUGUGCUUCUGUGGGUGCAAAAGUUAACAGGGUCAAGUGUAUUGACUUUAUGCAUUUUCCCCGCAAGAUCAGUUAAAUCAAGUCCUGUUUUGUCACAAACCCUAUAUAAAAAAGGCUUGUGAUUGGCGUGACCUGAUUGAAAUCAGCGUGAACAGAGAGCACACUUCUGUUAGAGCGAAUCAAAGAUAAGCGCAUACACCCAUGAGGUUCCCCUUGUACUUCUUUCAAUCAUCUGAAGGUUACUUUGACCUGUAGAGAGGGAGGGGCUCUCUGUCACCAAGAUGAACAACCUUACUGUAUAUGUGUGUCCUUUAUACUAAUAAACAUAAGUAUUUGAUUCACCUUUGACUGCAGGGUUCAUCGCGGCCUCUAACACUCUGCUAAAGCUAGCUUGCAGUCUGCUACUUCUUUAUCCACCCUCUGUUUCAUGAUGUGUAGCAAAAGGAUAAGGACUACGACUAUGAAGUCACUGUAUUACCUUGUGCUUGUUUUUAUCUAUGUAUCUCUUUGUCUGUCUCCCUAUAUCUACAAAAAUAUACAGCUAUUUACAGUUAUUUUCAACAUCCGUGGCCGCACCUCCACAGCCCUAUAAGUACCAAACAAAUAUAAGUAAUUAUGAAUUUUGCAGCAAGUUUAAAUCUUAUUAAGUGUCAGUGUGCACCCGCAGUGAACAUGUAGCCUAUGGAUAAGAGUAUCCAGUAUGAAUAUGUGCAACCACACAUGGCCUACAUGUAUAUUUCCGAUGUUGGUGUUGAUUAUGCUGAUUGAAUAAACAAAAUAAAUAUUAAUGCAGACAUGAUUUGUAAAUAUUCAGUUCUUCUUGGCCUUUCUUUUGUGUAUAGUGAGGCAUAAAUUAUUAACCUCUCUGUUUACUGACCCAAACUCAAACCGGUAAUGGAAAUAAUGCAAAUGCAAUAACGCAUUUUGUCAUUAUUUGUACAGAGAAAAUGUUUCUGCGUUGACUGCUUUCAAUCUCAGGGCUGGUUUGAGUUUAGAGGAUGCUCUCCCUACUGAACAGCAGAUGGCAGCAUAUGAACACUGAUCGAUCCCACUACCCAGGACUUUGCUUGACAUCCUGAGUUCCUCUAAAUCUGCAGCUCUGAAAUUCUACUCUUUACCAGGCUUUCUUUAACAUUUGAUUCUUCAGUUUCAAAUAAAAACAAAAAAUGUCUAUAAAAUGGAAAGUGUGAGCUCACCAACAUCAUACAUGAGCGAUACAUGGAAAUGUCACAAACAGGCAACUAAACAAAAAAGUGAAGAUUGACUGAGCUCAACACACGCUUGAACCGGAUUGAAGGGAUAUUUAAGAGGUCCAAAAUAAUUUAAACAAGCGAAACACUUUACUAUCAAGAGUGCGUCAGAUAUUGGUGAGUUUUUUAUGAGCAAUAAAUUAAAAUUCAAAACUCUGUUGUUGUAAAAUUGCAGACUUACUGAUGUAGAUUGCAGCAGACAAGCAUUACUCAGGUUUUCUGUGAAAUUCAGUUUCUUAGAGUCUGGUGAAUAAAAAGAGUAAUGUUUCAUCUGGUUUUGGUUUAAAAGGAAAAAAAAUUCUUCUUCGACAAAACUUUUAGAUCCUUUCUGGUGGAAAAAUAUGAAAAUAGAGAGGUGAGAAAUUUGAACAAAUUGCUGGUGAGAGGCUUUUUGCUGUGAUAAAAGCUGUAACACAGAAGAGUAGAAAAAAUCAAGGUGCAACGCUGUAAAAGAGUAAAAAGCCUUUAAUUUAUCAAGCAAUUUCAUUUUGAAAAAGCUUAAAUCAUACAGUGAUGAUGUUUGAAGAAGAAGCAAGUAACGUUUCAUGAAAAGCUGCACAAACAGCUUUCUGCAGAGUACAGCGCUCUGCAUAAUCUAACACCUCAGAACAACCCAGAUCAAGACCCAACUUGGACUGGAGGUUUGGUGACUCGACUACAACACUGCCAGAAGCUGUACACAUCUAUCCAGUGUGUUCUUCAUCAAUCAAUCAGUCUCUUUAUCAAUCUUUUUCUUAUCUAGAACCAAUUUACAACAAAUGGUCUAUCAAGACAAACAAAAGAGCUUGUCUAGACCAUGCUCUUUCUUAUUUACAAAGACCCAAGAUGAAGACAAGCAGAAAUAAUCAAAAGGUUUGACAGUUAACAUUAGCUUUGCAACAAUGAUACAAGUGGAAAGACUGAUGAAAAUAGUUGAAACAGUUGAGACAGGCAGGUCCAUAUAGCAGCAGCGAUCCAGAGGAACCUACAGCAUGAUGGAGCUCAGAGACUCUGAGAAAAGACUGUGGUUACUGACUUUAAUGGAAAAUCAUGAUUCGAUGUUAAUGAGACAGACAGAGGAUGGAGAAGGAGGGAAAUGUCCUCAUUGUGCCAGUACUGAUCCUAGUAGUCUAAACCUAUAGCAGUGUAACUAAGAGCUGGCCCAGGCCUGAACCAGCACUUACUGUGAAUUUUAUCAAAAACAGAAGCUCAACCUACUCUUAAAAGUAGAGAGGGUGUCUGCAAAAGAAAUGCCCAUAAAUCAUACAGGUUAAGAAAAUGAAAUAAGUAAAAACAUGCAGGUACCAAUGCUGUCAAUCAGUACGUUUACAUGACACUCGAGAAAACCGAAUUAUUGCCCUUCUCCGAUUAAGACCAGACAACUAAAGAGCAUGUAAACACCUUAGUCCGACUAUAAUCAGAGUUUGAGAACUCUGAUUGAAGUUGGAGAACUCCGAUUGUGACACCCAGAUAAUGCGAUUGGAGUUCAUGCCCCAGUGACCCGGAACAAAAGUACCUCAUCUGCCGAAAAAGUAGCGCGUACAUCAUGUAUGACAAAAACAACGCUGUACGAUGCUUUAUCUUCUUGCUCGAAAAUGCCCAACAGCAGUUGUAGCCACUUCUGACGUCUGGCACGGACUGGAAACAGCGCCGCUAAAAAGACCCAUAUCGCCCCCUCACUUUAAGGAAGGAGGACAGGUAUACGUCUAUAAUUUGAUUUUCUCAGCUGCAUGUAUGUGCGGACAAGGAGAGAAGUGCGAUUCAGCAAAAAAAAAAAAAAAAAAAAAAUUAUGAGUUUAGUCCGAUUAAGCUGUCCAUGCGAGCACACUGAGUGUUAGACCAAAUGUUACAAGAGGGGACCCCAAGAUUCUUCCAAUCUAUAUCUACUUUUUGAAUCAUAAACUCAAAAUUUCUCCAUGUAUAUCACUAAGACCAGUUCAUGCAACCAGUUUCUGAAGCAUGGUGAAGGUGGUGUCUUCUGGUUUUUCAAAAUCCUUUUUGCCCUUGGCUUGGACCAUGCUCAUUAGAGUAGCUGUUUGGAUAUGUAAAGGGAGCAUAGGUCACAUAAAUCUGUAAUGAGGCCAUACAGGUAGUGCUGCUGAGGAUGGAGAGCAGGAGGGGAGCUGAAAUGUGUAUAUUUACUGAUUUGAGAGUAAAUUACCUGCAUGUAUACUGUUUAUAAGGAGAGUAAAUAAAAACCUCCCUGAGCUCCUCCACUGUCUGACCUCUGUGAAUUACAGUGUUGAUCCAGAAGGUUCUUCGGUGAGUGAAUUAACCUGAGAGAGACCUGAGAUAAAGAGCUGCUGAGACUUCCUCACUGCUGCUGAGCCUCAAAUUUACACCCCAAAUGAGCAUCUAUUUCUAUUUCCUGUUUGUGUUUGGGUCAGUGAACGGAGAGGCAUCUUCUUAAACAGAGUGAAAUUAUCUACUGCACCAUGAGGGAUAUCCUUUCAGCACAGUAGAGGUGUUUUUAAAAAGCAAAUCCUGUUAAAUUUCCCUUCAGUCUUGUUGUUAGGACCCAGAGUUAAGUAAGCCUCUAUAAAAGACACCUGAUGAUGUGCACACACUGUUUUCCUGCACAGUGUGGAGUCAUAAAUGAUGUUUCACAGAGACGAGUCAGCAGGCACCUGAUUGGAGAAGCCGCCCAGGGUCUUAAAACAGAAGCUAAGCUAAUGUGUUGCUGCAGAGAGAUCACAGGUAGCACAAAUAUUAGGCAUAAUUCGUUGUCCUAGUCUGUACUUUUCCUAUUCCACCCUGAUGUGAACAGUCCUCCUUGGUCCAGAGGUUUUACUUCGCUGUUUGUAAUCACACCCUGCCCACACGGCAGUGUGGAAACAGAUAAAAAUGCUCACAUAAGCAUGUCAGACCAGUAGGAGGUGAUGUGUUAUCGGUCUGUUAUGUCAAACAUCACAGACGACCCCAAACUGUGAGCGCAGUGCACAAAAACCACACCACAGCCCUGUGUUCUUACACAAUGUCACAAUGUAAAAACUCGGCCAAUCAGGUCAUUGACACUUAAAAGGAACAACAUAUAAAACCCAGUUAUUGAAGCAAUAAAAUGCUGCUCUAGUUUGAGACCAGGGUAUUUGGUCAACAUAUGUAAAUAACUCAAAUGGAUGAUCUGCUCUAUUGGAUCAAACUUGCUGUCCAGAUAUGCUACAAAGCAGCUCUGUGCAUGACUAAAACAGUAAUUAUGGACACUCAAUACCUCGUAUAGUAGGGUGACCAUAUUCUGACUUCCCUGAGUUCUAACUCAGUAAGUUCAUGUGACACAAAAUCGAAACGCUCGUACAAAACCGCGAACAUAUGAAGGAUUUUGUAAACUUCCACAAAAAAUUGACAAACCUGGACAGCCCCCAAAUAAGAGGACAUGUCCGAGUAAAAGAGGGUGUAUGGUCACCCUGUUGUAUACUUUUACAUGUUUGCUGACGAUUCAGUAUGCUCCUCCUGGAAUAUUAAUUCAGGAUUUUUAACAGAGGAUUAAAAUUUGCUCCGAUUACUCAGACAAAGCGAAUGGAAAGAUUUGCUGUGAUUUGGAGUGAUUCAGAGGUGGGCACAAUUAAUCUAAAAUUUAACUUCGAUAACCAUUAAUAUGCUCACAAAGAUGUGAAACAUGAUAAAAUUAAUGUGUAAAGUGAGUUCAGUCAGGAUCACUUUGUCAAAAUUCAGCUUUAUCAUGCAAAGUUACAGUAAAUUUGGCUGCAUAGUUCUGUUCCGGGUCCCUGCCCUUCCAUGUGCUUGUGCGGAAGCCAUACGCAGGAAGUGCCCCUUCCUCCACGCAAGCAUGUGUGUGAGGCAUCAUGAAGGCAGAAACAACGGGGGAUAGAGCAGCGAUGAACAGAACCGCCCCAAAACAGGAGCGCUUCAAUGGUAGUGGAGCAGUUUAGCGGGCACAAGUGCAGCUGGUUGAAGUUGAAGUGGCUACUUGCCAUUGGCUGCAGAUCAGCGCUUGACAUCGUGACCUGCCAGAACUAACGCUAUGCUUCAUUGAAUAUUAACAUUAAAACCUGUUCAGGUCCACUGGUCAGAAGCAGAGAAGGUUCCCAUGAUCCCAGUCCACUAAAAGAUUUAAUCCAAGCUCCUUAUAUCCAUUAAGAUCCACAGAUUACUUUACAUCUACCAAGGCCAGAUGGUCUUUGCCCAAGCUGUCUGGCAUUCAUCCUACUAUGUAAGAGCAGAGUCUGAAUCCUUCUUCUGUCAGCAUAGAUGCUCUUAGUGACUGGAUAUCAAACUGUAUUUAGUGAUCCAGAUCCUUUAGCUUAGUAAGAACUGGCUCCUAAUCAAAACCAGGUAUUUGAAACAGCUUCUCAACAAAGAGAAAUGACCCUUUAAAGCAGCAGAGCGUUACAAACAUCAGUCUCCACUGUUUCUGAUACUGAAGUAUCUACACCCCAUUGUCCUCUCAGACCUCAUUAAUCCAGUCCUCAAGCUCUUUUCUGGCCUGUGUCACCAUCAUGUUGGUAUCAGAGUGAUCCAGGAGAUGUUGAGCAGGCCCUUCUCCAUGUUUUCACACAGAGACAGUGAUCUGUGUUCAGUCAGAGCUCAGACUGCAGCCCAGCUCGGGGACACAGCAGAUGUGACCACAGCUGUAUCUGUCUGCAAGCCCUGGGUCUCAUUAGUAGAACGUCCAGGCAGACAGCCAAGAGCGUGAUGUCCUUUAAUGUCACAUGUCUGACAUAUGUAACAGAAAAAUACAUGAGCUUUGUCUAUUAUUUAUUGCUACUAUUCAUCGUCUGUUUGACAUUUGCGAACAGAUCCUCCCAAAUCUCACCAUCUGAUCCUUUAAAACCAACCCUAAACACCCACAGGGUGCAUGUUACCGAAACCAAACCUCCAUGAUUGUUGAUGCCAAAGAGAUCAAUCAAUCAUUUAAUCGAUCACUUUACUUUUAAACUGAACUAACAACCAGUGACCCCCCCUAAAAAAGCAAUGCCAUUUUUCUCUGACGUUUUAAAAACCUCAUAGAGCGAUCUCCAUGAACCCGGAGGAGAUCCUCUGCCUGCUGUCAGCCGGGGCACAGCUGAUGAGAUUUGACGUGGAUAUCUGAUUCUGACGUUAAUUUUCCUCUGAAGCUCUCGGGUUUUUGAUGGAGAGUAGAUUGAGCUAAAAGGGGGGAAAAAAACGGGAGAAUGAAGGCUUAAGGUGAGCUGGGAGUUGGAAAAUGAUGCAACUUUUCUUGGCUACGGCUUCACUUAAAGUACCACAGGGUUUCAGUGAAGGAAAAAAAAUCGAGUUUGUUGGAUUAUAGAUCAAAGAAAAUAAAAGAUAAAACGUUCUUUUAUUGAAUCUGAGCAGAUAAUACAAGAAAAAAGCAGAUGAAGGAGUUUAUUAAGGGACUAAACACAAACAAACAGACUGUCUUUGAGAGUUUUUAGAGACCCUGAUCUCAACACUGACGGUAAACAUCCAGAGACGCAGCUGUCUGAUACAAAGCACAGCCACAUGUUUUCACCGAAGAGUGUCAAAUAAAUCUCCCAGCCAUCUGACGCUCAACAGAAAUACGGUUUUUCUUUGCAUUUAAAUUGAGAACCUUUUCUUUAGAAAGGACAUUGAAUUGUGACUUUAGACAGACAUUUUCUUUUGAGUCGUUGGAGAAAUAAUCUGACAAGAUUUACAUGAUGAUGUCACUUUGUUUUCUAAAGACAGAGACAGUCGGGGUAAAAAAAAUUACAUUCAUAGUGAAUGUGUGUGCACAUAUAUUGUUUUCUAGCCCUGAACCUCCAUAAAUUUUAUCAGUCCAGUUUUACUGUUAUUUAUCAUAUUCUGGUCUGCAGAGUGAUCGAAUUAGCUGCACUACUGGCUGCAGAUGUAUUGAACAACAUAAUACUUUUAAAAAAGAGAGAGAGAGAGAAAGAGAGAGAAAGAGAGAGACCUUUUUCUCCACUAUUUUCCCCUCAUGUUUAAAAGGUUUUUAACCUUCCUCCUUUUACUACGCACGCACUAUGUUAAGGGUCAGUUUCAACCAGUGUCUUAAAUCAGCUGUAAAUUAAACUAAAAACAAUUCUCUAUCAUCCAAUUUGGUUCUCAUCUCUAGGUUACCUUGUUAGAUUUAGUGCCAUAAUUUUAAUAAGAGUAUUUUAUAAUUUAGCCAAUUUAAUUUUUUCAUUUUGUUGAAAUAGUAGUACCUGACAAAGUCAAAAAGUCUUGAUGCAAAAAAGCGAAUGUAAGUGGUUCUUUUAAGCAUUUAAAAUCAAAAACGGGUCGGUGCAGACCCCAACAUGGAAGGAGGGUUAAAGAAUGAACACAUUUAACACAACUACUAAAAUUUUUUAAAUGAUUGAUGCAUGCUAGUUUACACACAAAUCUGUUCUAUUCAGGUUUCAGGAGCGAGUUGUUGUCUUUGUUUAAUUUCAGAAGAACUUAGAUUUUCAAUAAACUUUUGAUCAUGUUAUCAUGUUUAAAAAGUUUUUGAAAGAGACAUACAACAUAGACCUGUCAGUCCUACCAUGCUAAUCUCAGUAGGAUUGAUGUUGAUGUGCUAUCUUUUUCAUUGUGUGCUACUUUGUCCCUUCCUGAAUGCCAUAGUUAGGCUGUUGCAGUGUCUUCCUGCUUCCUGCUUCUACUGUAACAGAAACAAACAAUACAGACAAAAGUUAUAUGCUGUUAUAUUAUACAAAUUAAAUCUUACUCAUGAAACAUAAAUAAAUAUGUGUGUAGAUUUGUACUUAUAUGUCAUCGGUACUAAAUAGUUUACAACAGAUUCAUAAACACAAGAGAAAACUCUGAUUUGAUUGGCAAGUUCAUGAGUGCCAAUCAGUUGUUAAGUGACAGCACGCUCCUGCCAGUCUUAGACAAUGACCUCUGAGUAAUACGCAUGAACUUGCCAUAAUUAGUCUUACAUGCGUGCAGAUUUUCAGUGGAUCUCAAAUGGCUUUUAAGGCAGUCGUCUCUCACAGUUGUAUUCUCUUAACUCGUACCGUCGAUGCAGUUGUGCAGGAUUAAACUGUUGUGUGUUCCACCUAUCCACUGAGCCACAAUGUUAAGCAACACACAAUUCACAUUUUGUAUUUUUAACACUUUUAGGGUAAUUUAUUAUUUUAAUUAUCAGUGAGCAUGUAAAACAAAACAUGAUUUGAAUGGUCUAAAAUGACCCAUUAAAUUUUUUAUUUUUGUGAGCAUAGCCGAUCACAAAAUGAAUUCAAAAUUAGAUAGCUGAUUAUAACAAGCAACGUUUAUGGACAUUCAUUAUUUACACAACGGCUAUAAGCAGCCUAGAGCAGGUGUAGAUUUAGCUACACAGUCACUGAAAUUUCUAAAUUAUUGAUGCAAGCUAGUUAACUCAUAAAUCUGUUCCAUUCAGGUUUCAGGAGAGAGUUGUUGUCUUUGUUUAAUAUCAGAAUAACUUACAUCUUUUUAUUAUAAAUUUCUUUUUGCUAAUUUUAGUCCUGGACAUCCCUGCCUUGAUCUCUCAUCUCUGCUCUGUUUUCUCUUCUGUGAACUUGCAUGAGGCCGAAUGAGGAAAUGAACUUUCUCUCUUUUUUAGCUCAUUAGCUUUAAUCGGGUGGGUUUCUCUAGCGUUGCCCCUGGCCACCCUCUGUGCAGUCAGAUGCUUUUGGUCCAGCUCAGGCUUGGAUGUCUAAAUCACUUUAAUUAGAGGGCUAAUUGGUGACUCUCACAGCCGGCUUCUCCCAGAAAAAUAUUACUUUGGUCUGGGUUCAGUGGCUCAUGCCAAUAAGAUUACUGCAGAGUGAUGGCAUCCAUAAAAAAAAAAAAAAAGAAACAGAAAGUAUGACUUCACUCCUUGAUGAUGAAAUGUUCAGUUCGGUCGUGAGUUUCAUCUGUAACUAAAGUCGACAGCUCUGCCAGGGGAGCCGAACAUGCUCGGGUCGGUGUGGGGGCUUUGUUGCUGAGGCCUGACACAUCGUCUCGUUAAUUCCUCGGUAAAUGCAGGAUCUGGAUUCACACUCAGAGCCAAACAGAUGCUCACAGCCCUCUGUCAGUCCCUUAGGUGAUGCUGGGUAAGAGGCUGGGCUUCCUCCAGCGCACCUCCGCUUCGCUGUCAGCCGCCUCCUCCUGAGAGCACCAACACAUCUGACAGUGUAAAUAUCUCCAGAGCAGACACAAAGCUGCAGGAACCACACACAGACCUCAAAUAAAACUUACAAAACACACACACACACACACACAUUUCCCAUGAAAACUACAGGACCCUAUGUUUUAAAAGGGUCAGACACCUUCAUUAUAAAGUUGAAUAUGGAGCUGAAUCCUUGAUCAAAAGUAUGUUUAAGACCUCUGAAUAUUCUGUCUGCUGUUUGAAAUGUUGUUUUUUGUCAUGUGUUAAUUUAUGUUGCUUGGCUUGUAUGUUGUAAGUGGAGCUACAGUGAUGCAAGUCAAAUUUCAGACUCUAUCUGCCAAUAAACCACACAUGCAUCCCAAUGAAAAAAAUCACAAAUAACACAAAGUCACUCUUAUGAAAACUACACACAAACUUGUCUAUAACCCUGUGCAAACCACGCACACAAACCCAAGAAAAACCUACAAACACUGCACAGAAGCUCGUGGAAAGACUCAUGCAAACCGAACACAUACUCCAUGAAAACUACACACCAACUCCAGCAGCAGCUUGUCUUUAAUAUGGACGUCCAUAUGCUGAGUCCUGAGGCAGCUGUCUAAAUGUGACAUCAGGUUUUCCUGUGCAGAUGUGUUAUGGAUGUGCUCAGGUAGUUCUCAUCAGGUAAUCAUUAUCACUUCUACCUGUUUGCAGCUGCAAAUCAAAGGAAUGGACUCCGUCAGCUGGCCAGACUGCAGAUCUAAAGGUGGUUAUAUGAAUAUACUGGUUGAUCAAAAACUUGUCCAAGAGUUAUUCAGCAGCUUACAAAAGCUUGGUCUGGAUGAUCUUCACUUCAAAAUACUAGCUUUGUCCAGAAAGUUUGCACAAGGCCGACACUCUUUUGUAUGUGCUUAUUUCAGCAUUUAGGUUUGUAACUAAGUCGGUAAGUUUCACUCAGCGUCACUUCUGUCCUUCAAAUGUACAAAGUUUAACAUUUAUCCAAGUUGUUAUGAGACUUAUGAGUCUCUAGUCUGUGUUAUUCCUCCCCCACCAGGCUCUCUUAUGCUUUUCUUUGGUACUGAACAAGACUAUGAGACAAAAGAUGUCUCUUAAUGCACAAUCAAAAUCUCUGUCAAACUUGCUAUUUUUAGCUGACAAGCUGCCAGCUUGAAGGUUGCUCUUUCAUACGGUAAUUAAGAUGUAAAAAGCUGUGAGAAAGCAGCAAACAGACAGAUUAGAGUAUUCCCUCUGAAACAGACAGUGAAUAUAACCUUAGUGAUAUAACCUCAUGACCAAUCAUGUAGUGGGAACAGCAGGGUAAGGACCCAAAUACAGACGUUUAAUGCAGGGCCAGCGCACAGAUUUGUGGGCACAGUGAAGACAAAAGCUUUCAAACAUGGGAUGGAAGUCAAAACACUGACACUAAACUUGAGAGCUCAUGUAUUAAGAGGAACUUUGCAGAGGGCUAUAGAUUCAGGUCCAGUUCCAAGAAUUGAUGAGUCAUGCCCAGGAUGUCUCAUGAGGUGUUGUAUCUGUUUUCUUCAAUUCGGUUUUUAACACCUCUUGUAUGUGUCUGCACUGUUUUCCUUCCUUUCUCUGCUGGUGACUUAUCAGCCAUUAAUCGCAGAUUUAAAAAAAAAAGUGUUUUCUGAAUAAAUUGAGAGCAAAAUUUAAAAUAUCAACAAUAUUGUUCAUGGAUGCUGCCAGAAAUUAAACUUUUUGCUCCAUUGUCAACAGGAAGUAACCAAAAUCUCUUCUAUUCUCGAUUUGGGGUGAGUGAUCUGGUUGUCCCUGGCAAUUUUUAAUGAGAAUCAUUAACCAUUGGCAUAGCGCUGAUAACCAAUCAGAAUCAGGUAUGUAACACAGCUGGGUGAUUAGUAAGGAAGCGGACUAGAAUUAAGGAGUGUCUGUGCUAUUACAUCGUUGGAACUAGCUAGGAUACUAGUCAGGAAGCUGCUGCAUGCUAACAUUAGUUCAACUCUUAGUUUACUACUGCAGUUAAUACGUUUAGGCUACACACGCAUAUCAGAUUCUGUCAAUUCUGCAGUUGACUUUGCAAAUUCGGCAGAAAUCGUUUAUAUCCGCAGAAGAAGACGUAAAAGACAUAGUUUGCUCGCACACGUUGAAGUAUUACCAAACCUUUACUUGAUGCUUGAGAGCCCAGCAGGGAACACAGUUGUGUGCACUGUGAUGACGUCAGAUGUUUGGUUACGGUGAUUGGUUACAGUAGUCUGUCUAUCAAGGAAAGUACUCCCACCCACUUUUAGGGCUCCCAAUUGGCCGAAGUCCAGACUGUUGUGGGAAGGAACGGCAAGUGAUUCACGCAACUGGAUGGCCCAGCCAGUCUAGGAUAUCGUCACUACUGUAACAGAGGCAGACACCCACUGAGCAUUUUUUGGUCUAAAUGGGGUCUAAUAGACGUCUAAUUGCAGCCUAGAUGACUGGUCUAAAAUCAGGCUACCACAGGUCUAAAAAGGAAAGUUUUUUUAGACGUCUAAAUUUAGACCAAGUCUAAAUCUGAGCUAUGUCUUUACCAGAGAUGGAAAUUGUGGAGUCACCAAGUCAUCUCCAUGCCAUGUAUUUGUUCUGCUCAGUUACUGAACCAGGUGCCUUCACUAAUGAGCUCACCUUCCUGGCUGCUCAUUGGAAGCAGCUGGUUCAGUUACAGAGCAGAACAAAUACAUGACAUGGAGAUGACUUGGUGACUCCACAAUUCCCAUCUCUGGUCUAUACUAUACUGUAUAUAUUGCUUAACAGCUAUGAUAAUUAUAUUGGUUAUGUACUUGGAGAUCAGUUAUGCAACUCACAGUUGCUUUUUGAAAUAAAAAGUUAUUGAAUAAUGGGUUAAAGUGCAACGUCUAAAUUAUACAAAAUAUACAUAAAAUAUAAAAAUAUACAGAAAUAUACAGACAUCUAAUAGCCGUCUAUCGCUCAGUGGGCAUGCUUCUGUAUAUGAUUUGAUAUUUGCCCAGUGCAUGUAAACUGAGGCAAAGACAGUUGUCCAAUUAAAUCGCCUCAUCAAGCCCUAACUGUAGCUUGACCUAACUAUGAAAUAUACUGAGAGAUUUCAAAACUGGGGUUCUGGAUCCUUAGGGGCACCUGGAGUUAUGCCAGUUUGUGGGUUGAGUGGGGCCAGUAAUGCUCAAUAAAAACAUACUUUUCUGCACUGCUCACAAAGCCUGGUAAGUUUUUCAAAAGGCCUGCCAGACAAAAAAAGAAAUCUGGCGGUGAAUCUACACCUAUUGUCCCAACUGGUGAAACAAGGACAAAGCCUUAUGAAGAGUCAAACCUCAUUCUGGCUUCACCUCCAUCUACAGUAAACUGCCCGCUCAUUAAAAACUUGGCAGUUGCAUGUUGCAGAGUCACUGUAAAUCACUUCUUAGUAAAAGAGUCUUGUUUCAUCAGGUCACUGACAAACAGCAAAGUUGCUAUCCUGUAAUUUUAGAUUUUUUUCACAUAGUUAAAAAGAUAAAUGAAAUUGUAAGAGUGUGUCUGAUAGUGUAUUUUAGGGUGCAUACAGUCUAAAGACAUAUGUAUAUUUGGUAUGUAUAGUAAUGGAGUAAGUUAGGCCCGGAACUCUGGACAGACUCAUUACAUAUUAUUGCUUUACUGGUCUGGUUUGCUUGUGCAGGGGUUCAAAACUGUUUCUGUGUCAAAAUGGGGACAGAGAAAUACUCAGAAACAUCAGUAUGGACUGGAUUUUUUUAAACUAAGACAAAAAUGAAAAACAGUAAAACAAACAGUUAAAAAAAUAUAUCUUCAUAUGUGUGUACUAGACUCAACUUCGUAUUUUUGCUACAUAUACAUCCAUGAAACCAACAAAAACCAGUCACUGAUCAAUCAGGGAUUACACUGGAUCCACUACAGCCUAGAUUUAAGCUGCAGGCUGAAGGAAGUCUUUUCUAGCCAAGGUUUCAAAGAAGCUCAGACAUCUGGAGGAAGCUCAGAGCAGAGUCAGUGCUCCUUUACUUCAAAAGGAGUCAGCUGAGGUGUUUUGGGCAUCUGAUUAGGAUGAAUCCUGCAUGCUUCCGUUUGGAGGUAUUCCAGACAUACUAAACUGGGAGGAGACCUGGAAGUGUAUAUAUCAGAGUGCCUUGGGGGGAUUUUAUAUCUUCUCUGUCCUGAAAAUACCUCAAAAUCCCAGAGGAGGUGCUGGAAAAUGCUGCUGGGGAUAGAGAGACUAGUGAGACAGGUAUAAAGCAGCAUGAAACUUUCAUUCAUAAAGUUUAUCCUCCAAGCCUCCACAGUGCAGCGUUGCAUUAGUUCAGUAAAUCAACUUGAAUUCGCUGUUUGUGGUUCACAAUGUACUCUCACUUCUUGCAUUUAUGUCGGGAGUUACUGUUAACUUGGCAGACCCUCCUCAGAUGUCGCCAAGAGUGUUAGAGGAGGGUCUGGAGAGGUUUUAAAACACCCACGGUGUCGGGAAAUGGCAGCGUUGACGAUGCAGCACAGACUUAACUCAGACAGCAGGAUCAAACAUCUCUGUGGCCCUGCUGGAUGAACAUGAACACACAAACUUGCACAUUCAUUCAGUUUCAGGGUCAUCAACCGAGCUGCUCUUUGUGUGUCAGUGGCUUUGCAUCGCAGACAUCAUUGACACAAGGUCCUCACUGUCAGCUCUCUGUGUCCCUGUGAGUCACACAAUGAGCCGGGUGAGGGAGGCAGCCAGUGAGUGAAGAUGCGCAAGGCUGAAGGUCUGUCUGUGUGUGUUUGCUCUGAAUGUAUCAUCAGAGGAGGCAAGCAUGCAGGGAGCUCAGCAGGUUCUUACGCAGUAUCCUGAAUCUAUCAGUGUGUGAGGUCUGGUCUCCACAGGCCAGUAGCACCAGCUGAGUCUUAAGCAGUCCGUAUAUCCUGUAGACCACCUAGACGGUUUAAAAAAGGAAAACCUUUACAGGGUUUCCUCUGGGUCAGGAGAUAUUCACAGACAGAUUCAGCUCUGAGGGAGCCACAGGCAAAGUGAGCUGCUGGUCUUUAUCAGCUGCUAUUCUACAAAUUUGUUAUGUGCAAACCAAGUGAGGAUUAAACCAUCAAAUCAAUGGAGGGAGAUUAAAUUCAAUUAGUCUUUUAUAUGAAUCUUUUUUAACUCCAUUCAUUCAUCCAUGCAUUUUCCUCCACAGAGAUCAGGUUGUGGCUUUGAGCGAGUUGACCCAGACCUUCUUCUCUGCAGCAGCUCCUCCUGCAGGAUCCCAAAGCGUUCCCAG